rnacentral:lncRNA from 1 species
GUAUUCUUCCUCAGAAGGACAAGGACUUCAUCUGUGGAAAAAAAAGCCUGUGCACAAAUUUCAGCCGAAGGGAGGGGAAAAAAAGCCAUGCUUCCCACUUGCCUUCAUUUUUAUGGCCCAUUUGCACUCUUUUCCCAGUGUUUUCAGCAGCCGCCUCAAUCCUCCUGCAGAAAUCCCUCAGGACUGCCUGAUCCAAUACAAGGUUUACUGCAGCAGCUUUCCCAGUUAAGGCCUUGUUGCCAGUGGGUGGAGUGGUGAGAUCUACAUUGCAUCUACUAUGGCUAAGGAGAAGACCAGCAUUUCCAGGACUGUCAACUGAACCUCCUUCACACUACAGACACAACUUUAUAAAUACAAAAAGAAAAAGAAAAAAUUGAACUGUGAUCUUUCUGGAAUGGAGAUGUAUCCAAAAGAACUGUGCUUUGGGUUGUACAGCCUUCCCAAGGAGUCAGAACAAAUAUCCAGACUUCAACACGAGACCAAGCAGAGUUGCUCAGUCCCUGUGGAGAUGAGAUAUAGAACUGGAGAAUAUAAACAGAUGUGGAGACAUUUUGAUGCAUUUCUGAAAAAACAAAUGACAUUUUGCUGCUAUAUUUUAGAGUUCAGUCCAGCCCCCUUAUCAAGAAUAUGAUGCAAAAAACAAUAGUCACUUCAUUUUCAUUUCUCAGUCUGUCUGGAGAGCAAAAGGCACAGUCAUCUAGUAGAUGAGGUAACAUCAGAGCCUAACAACUGUUGAGAAAGUCUUGUAGAGUUUAAAAUGCUGAAGAAAAAGGGAAGAAUCAUUAAGAAACUAUAAAUCUGAAGGAAAUCAAUAUGAUAGUCUAAGAUCUUGAAAUAGCAUAGCAUGUAUUUUUAUUUAUUAUUGCAGGCAGGUUGAUUAGUACCUGAGGGAGAUUCUCAGAAUCACAAAGCAUGGGCUGGAAGGGACCGCUGGAGAUCAUCUACAAGCCAGCACAAUGCAUCUAACCCAAUACAGACUAAAAGAUUCCACAGAAACAAGGAACUAUAGGGUACUGGAGCAGAAAUGCUAAGUCACAGCUUGAACCAGUGAUUGAGCACCUGGUGGGAAGGCAGGGCCAACCCAGGGGAGCUCAGGUGCAUGCAAUGAGGAUCUGCCCGAUCCUGGCUCCACCCCUUCCCAGACCUCAUUUAAGGACUGGCAGUAGGGGCAAGAGCAUCUCACUGGAGAUCCCUGCCUAGUAGAGGCCUUCUAAAGGUAAGCAGUUUUUCUUCCUUUGUUUCUGCAUCCAUGGUUGCUGCAUUUGGGCUUGCUCUCAUUUGCUGCAGCCUAGGAUUGUGCUGCUCUGCUAUUAUUGCUAUGCUUUCCAUUACAUUGCAGAUACAAAAGGUUAAACUCCAUCUUCCUAGUCUUGUCCCCCUUCUUCUGUACGGGAGAGCCAUCCUGUGAAAGAAGUAAGACUGCAGCAGUGAAAGUUUAGGGUAUUUUCUACAUCUCUGGAGCUGACUUCUGCGGGCAGAUGAAGGACGUGCAGACAGCGAGAGUGUCUGUAGCUCACGGUUUUGAAAUGGCAAGGCAUGCUGUUCAAGGAUAUCUUUACCAAUUUUAACUAACCAGCGUGGCCUGCUCAGGCCAGUAUUAUGGACAGCAACAAACAAGAGGACACUUUGUCUCAUCAGUCUCAUGGAUAUAACUUUCUGCUUACAGCUGUAUUUGGCUAAGACCUGUACGUGGUUAUGGACUUUGACUCAGUGGCUGGGCUUGGAUGGGAGCCUUCUGGCUUACAAUCCUAUGCUCCAACCAUCUAAUCUCUCAGCCCAAAGGAAACUAUGGUGUCCCUGUGGACUCUUAGUAAGACACCACAGCUUUGUUGAGUGCUUAGCUUUUGAUGGGGGUAUUUGAAGGCUUCACAGAUGGCAUUCAGUGACUCUGUUCCCCCUUUCUACCUGGAGGCUGCCAAAGGAUGGCAGCAAAGAGACAGAUGUUAGAGGGAUGUCAGGGUGUGAAUAAAGGGGCACGUGCAACAGGAAAAGCGCUGCAAUAGCUGUUGCUGUGAAGGAAAAGCAUUCCAUACUGGAAAGCCAGCUAUAUGGAAUGCAGUCUUUUCUGCAGUUUGGUGCUGAUAAAAAUGCUGCACUGGCAUUUCUGCAAUAUGAUACUCCAAAGCAAGAAUAUGGUUUGUUAUUACAUCUGUGGCCAGCAGGACUUCGUGGUGGUGGAGGAGACAUCCUCAGCUAUGGCUGAAUGUUUAGUUUCCAUGCCCCUUCUGUCCUAGGAUGGCAGUCAGCAAUAAUUACUUCAGUGGUUUCUACCCUACAAUUCUUAGCCUCUAAGGACUAUACACGGAUCCAGAAACUCGUUCCAUGCAAGCCCUUUCUAACAGGAUGAUGACUUCUAGUUUCUGCUGGACUUGAUCUAGAUUCGCAUGGGAAAGCUAGAGAAGAAAUGACAGUUUGCUGGAGCAGCCUGUGCCAGGCCAGAUUUCUGUAACGAGCCAUCUGCAUUUGGAAACAACCCUGAGCUGACAGAGAAAGAAACAUAAUAAUCAAUCUGAGGCAUAUGAUGUAAUAAUCUACCAGCCACAAGAUCUAGAUAGGAGAGGAAAAUUGAUCAGUAAUGACAACUGUUAUUUACAGGAGUGUUAAGACUACCACCUGGAACGCCAGAAGAUGGGCAGUGUCCUUUAAUUCUGUUGCAAAUUUCUGACACCUAAGCAUGCUUUUCUGCAGGACAAGAGAAGGGGCAAUUGCACUUAUUUGUCUUGUUUAACAGAACUCCUGUUUCUGACAUAAUCUUUACACUUGCUUCUCUAGUUAAGUCUCUUUUUUUUUCUUCUUCUUUUCUUUCCCUGGUGUUUGCAUGAACUCGGUGAACCCUCAUCACGUGUGGCAGUGUUUAUAUUUGCACAGGCUGUUCUGUGUGUCUCUGUUUGUGUUGCCACCACAUCUACAUGGUUUGGCAGCAGCCCCACGGCUGUGUUUCAGCUGCAUAUAAAUCAGCUUCGCUCCAUCCCCCUGUGUUUCCAUCUGUCUGUCUUCCUUGAUUGCUCUGAAAUGUUACAGGGCAUGGAGGUUAGCCCAUGGCUGAACCCUUCAGAGAGAAAUGGUGCAAAACCAAACCUGAGUUUCUCCUCCUCAAAUCUAACUCCACAACCUUUGGAGGUGUGGGGUGUUAAUGUUUUUGCAGUGACAAACCUCAAAGCGGGGACUAACCUUUGCUUCUGUAGUUUUCAGGUCUGUUUCUCCCAAAACACUUGUAUAGAAGCUCUAAGGUCACCUCUGUGUUGUGGAGCUAAUCCUUCCUUAGCUUUUCAUUAUGUGAAGAUCUCCCUUUACUCGCACAAAUUUAACUUCUGCUCUGUCAUUAAUUAUUACCUCCAAUUUGAUUGCUUCACAUCUCAUUAGUUCAUUUAUUUCUCUGGAGAAGGAGGUGUGAAAUGGGAAUGACUGGAAGCAUGGGGAACUGCAGGCACGUGAUCAGAGAAUGGGAUGUUAGGCAGAAAUCACAGACCUUGAUACUCUCCUUGCACAGAGAUGUUUCUCUAGGAGUCUCCUCCCAGACUGAGUUCAUAAUGGGGUUAAUCACAUAUGAGUUUGAUUGAAUUGCUGUGAGCCCUGGAGAUAAACUUCUAGCUCAGAGUGUUUGUGCGAUUUACUCUUGGCCAUGUCUCUUCUCUUGCAGAAUAGAUGCCCCAGGGGAACAGAAGAUCGAGCAUGCUGCCCUUUGGCCAUUGGCACUAAUUUGCCAAUUCAGUAGAGAUGACAAAAGACGAAGUGGGGAGUCCACGCCCAUCUCAGGUAAAAGAAUUGCCUGUUUCAAGAAAACUGGGAAACACUGAUAGGACAAAAUAAAUGGGAGAAGAACAAGACUCCUAUGUCAUCUUGUGGACUUCAGACACAGCGACAGAUCAAACGUAGUUAUGCCUGUUAACUCCACGAGAAUAAGACAUAGCUGCAGUAUGGAGCUGAGUCAGUUUGGAUUCAGCAUUUAAAGAAAGAAUGGAAGAGAAGCAACCAGGUGUCAAAAGAUGUCCAAGCAUUAUCUGGCCAGAGUGCAUUGCCAAUCCACCAUGCCAGCCAUCCCACCAGAGGCAUCUUGAUGUCAGCAUUGAUGUGACCCAGAAAUGAGGGGAGAGUGACGGGAAUUCACUGUGCUGGGGAAUUCAGUGCUGCAGAUAGUGAAACACCUUCCAAACCAGAAGAGGUUGCUCUGUGUUCCAAUAUUACUGAUGGUAAAGGAAAUGUUGUGUGAAAUGUUCUGGUCAGCCAAGGAAGUGGACCAUGCAGCAUGGGAUGGCAGCCCCUUCGUGAUCCCCGAGGCUUUGGUGCUGGGAUCAGCACAAGGAAGGACGCCAGAGGAAAAAGUCAGGUUCAGGUUGGAAACGUAUUGCUCAGAGGAAGCAGAUGGAAGAAGAGGUGUCUCUGACUUUGAAUCAGCUUCUGUAUGAUCAUGGCUUAAUGAUCAUAAAUCCUCUGGGGCCUGCAACCUAACAAGGGAAUAAAGGAGGAAGCGCCGUCUCUCUCAGAUCAAAGUAAAGAGAAAAGCUGAGAUGUAAAGGAGACGAAAUGAGCUACAGGGUAUGUGAAAAUCAGAGCUCCCAUACAGCUUGCUGGAGACUGCCAAAAUAGGGUUCUCCACAGCCAUCCCCUACCUAUGCAAUAUAGUGAUGGGAGCGUUUUUAGAUAAGAUCAGACCCAGAGAGAACAUGCCUGGCUCUGUUUCUUCCAGCGGAACAAUAUGGAAACCCACUGCUGGGAAACCGUUUUUCCGAGCCAGAGAGGAGGCAGGGAAUUGUUCUGUGCAACCAUUCAGGAGCCUCCGCUCCCACGCAUUCUCCCGCUUGCUGACACCCUGCCAGGACCGCAAAGGAGGAAUUGAUUUACAUGCAGUAAGUCAACUAAAUAAAUAGAUAAAUAAAGCCCUUCCUACCUUGCUCAGCUAAAGAAAGGGAGGGACUAAGAUGAAAUUCAGUGGGAAGUCCUCUGCAGGUGUGCUGCUGCUGCUGCCCGGAGCUGGGCACUGGGUGCUGACAGCACUGGUAAACGUGAUAUUUAUUCCCUGGGAGGGAAUUUUGGACUGCUCUUCGUAAGGCUUGUCACUUACUGUCUUCUGUUCUUGCUACUGAACUCGGUGCUGUGUGAGAUCCCUGAGCUCAGACAGCUUUUGGUGGCUUCAGCAAGUGAGUCCCAAUUGUUUUAGUUCUUAUUUCGAUGAGCUAGUUCCUAAAAGCCCAGAUUCACUGCAGAAAGAUACCCCUUUGGGCUGAAACACUUCUCCUUUUGGGGACAGUGUCAAAUUGCUUGAAGAAAGAGCAUACAGAAGAGGGUUAUAGCAGUAUCCAUCCUCAAACUGGAUCCCAUCCUCUCCUAACUCCCAUUAAUUUGCUCCUUCCUGAGAAGUCUGCCCUGUAGACCGCUGUGCUUAAUAGGUGCCCUCCUCUGUGAUUUUCCUCCCCCUUUCCUACUUCUGCUCGUUUCAGCGUUCAUUGACAAAGGGGAGGUGGGGGUAGUGUGAAGAAAUACCACUGCACUUUGAAGCUUGCUCCUUUGAGCCAGCCUGUCCCUGUCUGGGAGCAGGUAGCCCACAACCGUGCACCAUUCCUUCCUACUUUGUCAUGCCCUCAGCUGCCCACACAGCUGCAGAAAUGCAGGGAAUAGGUUUGUAGGCCAUGAUGUGUUCUCGUGAAUUAUCUCCCAAUAAAACAGAGAUCUGGUGAUGGAGAUAGCGCUGCUGGGAGCUAAAAUGUGAGUCUGUGCCUGAAACUACCCUUGGGUUUCAUGGGGGCAUUCAACUCCCACUCUAUUUAAAUGCAAAUGACCUUUUCCUUCGCACUCCACUACUACCAGAACCGGGUCAGCCAAGAGAAUAGUUGUUUCACUUUGUUAUAAAAAUUGCUCAACUGACAUUCUCAUGGAGCUAAAGUUCUACUUCUCCUGCUAACAGACUGCCACAGCAGAUGAGAUGGGGGGGACAGAGUGAAGUUCAGGAAAUUUUCAUGUACCAGGUAGUUCAGUUUAAGGCAACAAUCAAUAGCAAAUUACAGCUGGAAUAGAGAGGAGGGUAGCUCUACUUGCUUGAAUACCUGUGAUGGGGGCCUACCUCCCGAAAAGGAGGCAGAAAUGUCCUUUACUGCCAGCAUUUUCCUGCCUUUUCCCAGAGCAGCAGGCGUGCUGCUCUUUAAUCCCAGCAAAGGAUAGGAGCCAGCCCCAGGAUACCUUGCACCCAGAAAUUGACUCGAGCAAAUAUAUAUGUGUGUGUGUGUGUGUACAUACACAAGAGCUAUAGAUAAAAUGUAUGGAUUCAACACAUACAGCUUCCCUGUACUGCUCUUUGUUUCACACUAUUAACCCUGUCCCCUCUCUCCUUGCUCACAUCUCUUCUCUGCCUUGCCCAAAAGCCCAUUGCUCUUUGCUCAAACUGACGGGAAAGCUGACGUGGAGAAGUUAACCAGGAACAAGUGUUUCCCACCUGUGUGCAGCUGAACAUGGUGCACUUUGGUUUCAGUUCUGACGAAGUGCCGGUGAGCCUGACAGUGCAUCUGUUUUUCUAACUCUCUUGGUUAGUCCGAGGAGAGAUAUUCUCUCUCUUUGAAAACCCCCACUUCUAAUAAAAAUAAUUCAUUCC